UACGAAGGGGGCUAGCGUUGCUCGGAAUCACUGGGCGUAAAGGGUGCGUAGGCGGGUCUUUUAAGUCAGGGGUGAAAUCCUGGAGCUCAACUCCAGAACUGCCUUUGAUACUGAGGAUCUUGAGUAUGGGAGAGGUGAGUGGAACUGCGAGUGUAGAGGUGAAAUUCGUAGAUAUUCGCAAGAACACCAGUGGCGAAGGCGGCUCACUGGCCCGAUACUGACGCUGAGGCACGAAAGCGUGGGGAGCAAACAGGG
rnacentral:rRNA from 1 species